rnacentral:rRNA from 1 species
GCCACUUGGCUUUGUGCACCGUGUGCCGAUCCGAUGACCACUGAGUUUGUAACCCAGUGGUGGGCCACACAUGUAUUGUUUUACCACUAGGAUCCUCCUGGGAGUGAGUUAAGUAGCAGCAGCCGCCACCCUGGGCUCGCCCAGUGGAGUAGGUGCUUUCGACUGGCGGCGAGAGUACCACCGGCGCCGGGGAGGGGAAAUAAAUAUCGACCGGGGGAGAAGCGAAAUAAGAGCGGAGGUGAGCUAGGUUGUAUGUCUCGUGGAGGUGAAGGGGUGACGAGGAGGAGGAGAAGGAGCGAGAGCGGUGUCGUCUCGUCUCUCGUGAGUGAGUGACACCUGAUAGGUAGGUGCGGGGAUGAGGUCAGGCUCCUAUAAGAGCUCAAGUCGACGCGCACGUACCUCUCUAACGACAGCGACGACGGCUAGCUAGCUAAGGUCGUCCUAGUGAGGAGGCUAAUUGGACCCCUAACUAACGACAAGUGAGAUCACAUGACAAGAAAGGGGAGAGAAUCGACGACGCUGUCCAAGAACUAGAAGUUUCACGUCUUAUCGGUCAUCAUCUUAAGACACAGCCGAUCUGUUCUCUUAAGGUUCUACCACGACCGCGUGUGCAGGUUCCACCACGACCCUACGCACCGCAAGCCGUAGAAGACCCACGACCGGCAGAAGGGGUCGCACGGGAAGUACGGGCAGCCGGCGUGGCGGCCGAGCGACGAUCCGCGGUACGAGUACCACGACAAGGCCCAGUAGAGGGGCCUCCUGCGCAUGCGCCGGUAGCUGGAGGGGUAGUAGCCGGAGGAGAAGCCGUGGUACCAGCAGAGGUAGAAGGACCUCGCGCGGCUGUACAAGUUCAUGGAGCCGUUGGACGAGGUCACCUUCUCGGCGCCGGGGUUCCUGGACGAGAAGGCGCAGACGUAGCAGAGGCGGUAGCGGAGGCGCGAGAAGUGGUUGCUGUGGACGACGCAGCAGGAGUGGCUCAAGUAGGAGUUCCAGCGCGCGGUCUUGUUGGAGGGCGGGGUCGGCAAAGAGGAGCGCGAGCGGUGGUCGAGGUUGUAGCCGAGGCGGCGGUGCGGGUAGCCGUUGGGCGUCUUGGAGCAGUAGCGGCAGCUCUCGCCGUAGAGGAAGCCGGUCAAGGAGGAGCCCCAGAAGGGCCGGUACUAGCAGCCGCACGAGUGGUUGCGGCGGUAGGAGGAGACGAUGAAGACCUCCAUGGAGUUGCAGCUCGGCCGGCUGGUCCUCGCGCCGCCGCAACAGAGGUGCCCCGGGCUCCAGCAGCCGCUGCUGCUCCAGUGGAGCGUGGCGAAGUGCGGGCGUUCCUACAGCGUGCAGAGGAGCUAGUUGGGCCUGCUGAAGCUGACGCAGUCGCUCGGGUAGUAGUCCUCGCGGUCGCAGUUGCCGCUGGUGGACGCGUCGUCCUCGCAGUUGAGGUUGCGGUUGCGGCGGCUGCGGCUGUACGUCAAGAGGUAGUCCAGGGAGGCGAGGAGGUCGUACAGCGUGCUCUACCAGCUCCAGAGGUGCCAGGGGCAGGAGUAGCUGCCGCGGAGGAGGUCCUUCAAGUGGUCCUGGCGGUCGGUCGUCUCCUCGCAGUAGUAGCUCCUGCGCGGCGGCAGCAGCGGGUGUCUGCUGCUCCGGCGGCGGUUGCCGCUGUUCCUGUUCCCCCUCGACGGGCUCCAGCACCUCUUCUCCACCUUCCACGACCACACCUUCUGCCGGCACAUGGAGUAGUGGGAGCCGUACGAGUAGCGGGAGGAGUACCCCGAGUUGUACAGGACCUGGCGGUAGUGGCGGCGAGAGCAAGAGGAGCGCGAGCUAAAGUGGCUGCGUGUCCGGACGGAGCUCUUCCACAGGAUGAGCGACGAGUAGAAGAAGACGCCCUACAAGUAGUGCCACCUGCCCAAGUUGUUCUGGCCGUAUGGGUUGUGCUACACCCUCGACCACCUCGGGAUGAGCGCCUAGCUGUCGCGGUCUCCGCAGCGCGAGGAGCCGGAGCAGUAGGAAUAGGAGAGGUUGCAGCGUAGUUUACAAGGUUGUCAAGACGACGACCCCUGCUCCCACCGGCGAAGACGCCGCCGCUAGAGCGGCCGCAGCCUCUCCUUCCGCACCGACUAUGACCGCAUGCACUCGUGCCACCGGCCCUUGGACUGUGACGACCCCAGCCGCCGCUUGGACUAGCACACGCUCGUCCGCUCCGCCCGUGUCAAGAAGCCGAUGUUGGAGAGGAAGACCUCGGUGGAGGCCAAGCCCCACGGCAGGUGGUAGUAGCAGUGGCGGUAGCCGGAGGAGUAGCAGUCGUCGAUGACUUGGUUGGUUCUUUGACUUGUAUCAUCAUGAUGGUACGUUCCUCGUAUCGCUUUAGGAAAGAAGAAGUUAUUACCUCUGAUGAGCACAUUUUAGCUAUCCGAACGGGACAUUGGGCUAACACAAAACACAUAGUCAUUAGUCACCACAGUAGAAGACAACAGCGAUUUCGUCUGCCGGCCAUGCCGUGCCCACCGUCUGGUUCAUCGGACGUAAAAGUCUAAAGAGUUGAACCUCAUCGGACGUCUAUCUAAGAACAACUUGAUUCUUUAAUGAGGAUAUAACAUUAGAAUAAAGUAAAAACAAAAUUCUCGUAUGUGAACGCAUCAAACAAGUGAUGUGCGGAUUUUUUACCUACACAACCAGAUCGUUCUUGAGUGUUGUCUUCAGACGAUGACGACACAUUCUAUUAUUAUCACGACCAUCAUGAAUUCAACCUUUUCUAACUAGUCCAGCCAC